GAGUUUGAUUAUGGCUCAGGAUGAACGCUGGCGGCGUGCCUAACACAUGCAAGUCGAGCGCGGUUGUGCUUAGUAUUGAGUGUUUUAUUGAUAUAAAACAUUGAAUUCUAUGCACAACUGAGCGGCGGACGGGUGAGUAACGCGUGGGUAACCUGCCCUAUACACAUGGAUAACAUACUGAAAAGUUUACUAAUACAUGAUAAAAUAGUUUUUCGGCAUCGAAGAAUUAUCAAAGUGUUAGCGGUAUAGGAUGGACCCGCGUCUGAUUAGCUAGUUGGUGAGAUAACUGCCCACCAAGGCGACGAUCAGUAGCCGACCUGAGAGGGUGAUCGGCCACAUUGGAACUGAGACACGGUCCAAACUCCUACGGGAGGCAGCAGUGGGGAAUAUUGCACAAUGGGCGCAAGCCUGAUGCAGCAACGCCGCGUGAACGAUGAAGGUCUUCGGAUCGUAAAGUUCUGUUGCAGGGGAAGAUAAUGAC
rnacentral:rRNA from 1 species